rnacentral:tRNA from 1 species
ACAGCGAUAGCCGAGUGCUUAAGACUUUGGACUUACCACUGUAAUAAUCUCACAAAUUUUCUAAUUUCCAGUGGACGCAAGUCCUCGUGGGUUCGUACCCCACUCGCAGUA